rnacentral:rRNA from 1 species
GGUCCGAGUUGUAAUUUGUAGAGGAUGCUUCGAGCAUGGUCUGGCCUAAGUUCCUUGGAACAGGACGUCAUAGAGGGUGAGAAUCCCGUAUGCGGUCAGGUGCCUACGCUCAUGUGAAGCUCCUUCGACGAGUCGAGUUGUUUGGGAAUGCAGCUCAAAAUGGGUGGUAAAUUUCAUCUAAAGCUAAAUAUUGGCCAGAGACCGAUAGCGCACAAGUAGAGUGAUCGAAAGAUGAAAAGCACUUUGGAAAGAGAGUUAAACAGUACGUGAAAUUGUUGAAAGGGAAGCGCUUGCGACCAGACUUGCGUGCGGCCGAUCAUCCGGUGUUCUCACUGGUGCACUCGGCCGUGCUCAGGCCAGCAUCGGUUUCGGCGGCUGGAUAAAGGCCCUAGGAAUGUGGCUCCUCUCGGGGAGUGUUAUAGCCUAGGGUGCAAUGCAGCCCGCUGGGACCGAGGACCGCGCUUCGGCUAGGAUGCUGGCGUAAUGGUCGUAAGCGGCCCGUCUUGAAACACGGACCAAGGAGUCUAACAUCUAUGCGAGUGUUUGGGUGUCAAACCCAUACGCGUAAUGAAAGUGAACGGAGGUGAGAACCCUUAAGGGUGCAUCAUCGACC